GACGAACGCUGGCGGCGUGCUUAACACAUGCAAGUCGAGCGGUAAGGCCCUUUCGGGGGUACACGAGCGGCGAACGGGUGAGUAACACGUGGGUGACCUGCCCUCAGCUCUGGGAUAAGCCUGGGAAACCGGGUCUAAUACUGGAUAUGACUCCAUGACGCAUGUUGUGGGGUGGAAAGCCUUGUGCGGCUGAGGAUGGGCCCGCGGCCUAUCAGCUUGUUGGUGGGGUGAUGGCCUACCAAGGCGACGACGGGUAGCCGGCCUGAGAGGGCGACCGGCCACACUGGGACUGAGACACGGCCCAGACUCCUACGGGAGGCAGCAGUAGGGAAUUUUGGGCAAUGGGCGAAAGCCUGACCCAGCAACGCCGCGUGUGGGAUGAAGGCCCUCGGGUCGUAAACCACUGUCAGGAGGAAAGAAAAGUCGGCCGGGUAAUAUUCGUCGACCUGACGGUACCUCCAAAGGAAGCACCGGCU
rnacentral:rRNA from 1 species